rnacentral:rRNA from 1 species
AGAAGGGCGCUUUGGCUUUGGAAGCGGUCCAAGGUUCCUUGGAACAGGACGUCACARAGGGUGAGAAUCCCGUACGUGGUCGCUAGCUAUUGCCGUGUAAAGCCCCUUCGACGAGUCGAGUUGUUUGGGAAUGCAGCUCUAAAUGGGAGGUAAAUUUCUUCUAAAGCUAAAUAUUGGCCAGAGACCGAUAGCGCACAAGUAGAGUGAUCCGAAAGAUGAAAAGCACUUUGGAAAGAGAGUCAAACAGCACGUGAAAUUGUUGAAAGGGAAGCGCUUGCAGCCAGACUUGCUUGCAGUUGCUCAUCCGGGCUUUUGCCCGGUGCACUCUUCUGCAGGCAGGCCAGCAUCAGUUUGGGCGGUGGGAUAAAGGUCUCUGUCACGUACCUUCCUUCGGGUUGGCCUUAUAGGGGAGACGCCAUACCACCAGCCUGGACUGAGGUCCGCGCAUCUGCUAGGAU